rnacentral:tRNA from 1 species
ACCUGGCUGGCUCAGUUGGUAGAGCGUGUGACUGUUGCUCUUGGGAUUGUGAGUUUCAGCCUCAUGUUGGGCA